CAUGCGUUAUCCGGAAUUAUUGGGCGUAAAGCGUCCGCAGGCGGCUUUUCAAGUCUGCUGUUAAAGCGUGGAGCUUAACUCCAUCAUGGCAGUGGAAACUGAAAGGCUUGAGUAUGGUAGGGGCAGAGGGAAUUCCCGGUGUAGCGGUGAAAUGCGUAGAUAUCGGGAAGAACACCAGUGGCGAAGGCGCUCUGCUGGGCCAUUACUGACGCUCAUGGACGAAAGCCAGGGGAGCGAAAGGGAUUAGAUACCCCUGUAGUCCUGGCCGUAAACGAUGAACACUAGGUGUCGGGGGAAUCGACCCCUUCGGUGUCGUAGCUAACGCGUUAAGUGUUCCGCCUGGGGAGUACGCACGCAAGUGUGAAACUCAAAGGAAUUGACGGGGGCCCGCACAAGCGGUGGAGUAUGUGGUUUAAUUCGAUGCAACGCGAAGAACCUUACCAGGGUUUGACAUCCUGCGAACCUCUUAGAAAUUUGAGGGUGCCUUCGGGAAUGCAGUGACAGGUGGUGCAUGGCUGUCGUCAGCUCGUGUCGUGAGAUGUUGGGUUAAGUCCCGCAACGAGCGCAACCCACGUUUUUAGUUGCCAGCAUUUAGUUGGGCACUCUAGAAAGACCGCCGGUGAUAAACCGGAGGAAGGUGUGGAUGACGUCAAGUCAUCAUGCCCCUUACACCCUGGGCUACACACGUACUACAAUGCUACGGACAAAGGGCAGCAAACUCGCGAGAGCUAGCAAAUCCCAUAAACCGUGGCUCAGUUCAGAUCGUAGGCUGCAACUCGCCUACGUGAAGUAGGAAUCGCUAGUAAUCGCAGGUCAGCAUACUGCGGUGAAUACGUUCCCGGGCCUUGUACACACCGCCCGUCACACCAUGGAAAGUUGGCCAUGCCCGAAGUCGUUACUCCAACCCUUGUGGAGGAGGACGCCGAAGGUGGGGCUAAUGACUGGGGUGAA
rnacentral:rRNA from 1 species